AGCAGCCGCGGUAAUUCCAGCUCCAAUAGCGUAUAUUAAAGUUGUUGCAGUUAAAAAGCUCGUAGUUGAAUUUUGGGUCUGGCCGGGCGGUCCGCCCUCCGGGUGAGCACUGUUCCGACGCCGGGCCUAUCCUUCUGGUGAGUCGGCAUGUCCUUUGUUGGGUGUGUCGGGGAACCAGGACCAUUACCUUGAAAAAUUAGAGUGUUCAAAGCAGGCGUAUGCUCGGAUACAUUAGCAUGGAAUAAUGAAAUAGGACGCGUGGUGCUAUUUUGUUGGUUUCUAGAACCGCCGUAAUGAUUAAUAGGGAUAGUUGGGGGCAUUAGUAUUCAAUUGUCAGAGGUGAAAUUCUUGGAUUUAUUGAAGACUAACUCCUGCGAAAGCAUAUGCCAAGGAUGUUUUCAUU
rnacentral:rRNA from 1 species